rnacentral:tRNA from 1 species
GCAUUACUAGCUUAACGGUAAAGCUCUACAAUGUCACUGUAGAAGAUGUCAGUUCAAAUCUGAUGUAUUGCG